UGGGGUGUAGCCAAGCGGUAAGGCAGCGGGUUUUGAUCCCGUUAUUCCCAGGUUCGAGUCCUGGUACCCCAGCCA
rnacentral:tRNA from 1 species